rnacentral:rRNA from 1 species
GAUGAACGCUGGCGACGUGCCUAAUACAUGCAAGUCGAGCGAACGGACGAGAAGCUUGCUUCUCUGAUGUUAGCGGCGGACGGGUGAGUAACACGUGGAUAACCUACCUAUAAGACUGGGAUAACUCCGGGAAACCGGAGCUAAUACCGGAUAAUAUUUUGAACCGCAUGGUUCAAAAGUGAAAGACGGUCUUGCUGUCACUUAUAGAUGGAUCCGCGCUGCAUUAGCUAGUUGGUAAGGUAACGGCUUACCAAGGCAACGAUGCAUAGCCGACCUGAGAGGGUGAUCGGCCACACUGGAACUGAGACACGGUCCAGACUCCUACGGGAGGCAGCAGUAGGGAAUCUUCCGCAAUGGGCGAAAGCCUGACGGAGCAACGCCGCGUGAGUGAUGAAGGUCUUCGGAUCGUAAAACUCUGUUAUUAGGGAAGAACAUAUGUGUAAGUAACUGUGCACAUCUUGACGGUACCUAAUCAGAAAGCCACGGCUAACUACGUG